rnacentral:rRNA from 1 species
UGGUGCUUGCACCUUUAAAAUUUUAGCGGCGGACGGGUGAGUAACACGUGGGUAACCUACCUUAUAGAUUGGGAUAACUCCGGGAAACCGGGGCUAAUACCGAAUAAUACUUUUUAACACAUGUUUGAAAGUUGAAAGACGGUUUCGGCUGUCACUAUAAGAUGGACCCGCGGCGCAUUAGCUAGUUGGUGAGGUAACGGCUCACCAAGGCAACGAUGCGUAGCCGACCUGAGAGGGUGAUCGGCCACACUGGGACUGAGACACGGCCCAGACUCCUACGGGAGGCAGCAGUAGGGAAUCUUCCACAAUGGACGAAAGUCUGAUGGAGCAACGCCGCGUGAGUGAAGAAGGAUUUCGGUUCGUAAAACUCUGUUGCAAGGGAAGAACAAGUAGCGUAGUAACUGGCGCUACCUUGACGGUACCUUGUUAGAAAGCCACGGCUAACUACGUGCCAGCAGCCGCGGUAAUACGUAGGUGGCAAGCGUUGUCCGGAAUUAUUGGGCGUAAAGCGCGCGCAGGUGGUUCCUUAAGUCUGAUGUGAAAGCCCCCGGCUCAACCGGGGAGGGUCAUUGGAAACUGGGGAACUUGAGUGCAGAAGAGGAUAGUGGAAUUCCAAGUGUAGCGGUGAAAUGCGUAGAGAUUUGGAGGAACACCAGUGGCGAAGGCGACUGUCUGGUCUGUAACUGACACUGAG